rnacentral:rRNA from 1 species
UAUUGGACAAUGGGCGCAAGCCUGAUCCAGCCAUGCCGCGUGAGUGAUGAAGGCCCUAGGGUUGUAAAGCUCUUUUGUGCGGGAAGAUAAUGACGGUACCGCAAGAAUAAGCCCCGGCUAACUUCGUGCCAGCAGCCGCGGUAAUACGAAGGGGGCUAGCGUUGCUCGGAAUCACUGGGCGUAAAGGGUGCGUAGGCGGGUCCUUAAGUCAGAGGUGAAAUCCUGGAGCUCAACUCCAGAACUGCCUUUGAUACUGAGGAUCUUGAGUUCGGGAGAGGUGAGUGGAACUGCGAGUGUAGAGGUGAAAUUCGUAGAUAUUCGCAAGAACACCAGUGGCGAAGGCGGCUCACUGCCCGAUACUGACGCUGAGGCACGAAA